rnacentral:rRNA from 1 species
GACGAACGCUGGCGGCGUGCCUAAUACAUGCAAGUAGGACGCAGUUGCGAACGGGUGAGUAACGCGUAGGUAACUACCUAUUAGAGGGGGAUAACUAUUGGAAACGAUAGCUAAUACCGCAUACUAGUAGAUGGACCUGCGUUGUAUUAGCUAGUAGGUAGGGUAAUGGCCUACAUAGGCACCGAUACAUAGCAGACCUGCGAGGUGGAGUGGCCAUGCUGGGACUGAUGCACGGCCCAGAACCCGACGGGAGGCAGCAGUAGGGAAUCUUCGGCAAUGGGGGGAACCCUGACCGAGCAACGCCGCGGGAUGGAAGAAGGUUUGCGGAUCGUAAAGCUCUGUUGUUAAGGUAGCGGUACUUAACCAGAAAGGGACGGCUAACUUCGUGCCAGCAGCCGCGGUAAUUC